UCAUGUAUGGUUACAUCACCGUUUAUUUCUCUGCGGAGGAGUGGCAGGAGCUAGCCGAAUGGCAGAAGGAGCUGUCCAAGGACGUGAAGAAGAACAAUCAUGAGGCUUUGCUCUCGCUGGUGGCAGACAGGGGGCUGCAAACAGGGGAGUAUGAGAGGGAGAGCAAGAGAUCCCGCUGCCGAACAGGCUACCAGUAGUGCCCGGAGCCUCCUCAUGGCCCAGGACCUCACUGCGCCAGGCACUGUACAAACCAACAGUCCCUGCCCCACACAGCUUCCAGGAUAUACAACAUGACAGAUGCGGGGCACAAGGAACCAAUGAGACAAUACUGAACAGCAUGAGAGCCAGAGGACACUGCACACCCGGUACCUAAACAUUUUCAAGUUUAGGUCAUGUCUAUCUGGGACGCUACCAGCACAAGGCACGGUGUG